rnacentral:rRNA from 1 species
GACGAACGCUGGCGGCGUGCUUAACACAUGCAAGUCGAACGGAAAGGCCCUUCGGGGUACUCGAGUGGCGAACGGGUGAGUAACACGUGGGUGAUCUGCCCUGCACUUUGGGAUAAGCCUGGGAUACUGGGUCUAAUACCGAAUAUGAUCAUCGGCUUCAUGGUCGGUGGUGGAAAGCUUUUGUGGUGUGGGAUGGGCCCGCGGCCUAUCAGCUUGUUGGUGGGGUAAUGGCCUACCAAGGCGACGACGGGUAGCCGGCCUGAGAGGGUGACCGGCCACACUGGGACUGAGAUACGGCCCAGACUCCUACGGGAGGCAGCAGUGGGGAAUAUUGCACAAUGGGCGCAAGCCUGAUGCAGCGACGCCGCGUGAGGGAUGACGGCCUUCGGGUUGUAAACCUCUUUCAGCACAGACGAAGCGCAAGUGACGGUAUGUGCAGAAGAAGGACCGGCCAACUACGUG